UACGGAGGGUGCAAGCGUUAUCCGGAUUCACUGGGUUUAAAGGGUGCGUAGGUGGGCUGGUAAGUCAGUGGUGAAAUCUCCAGGCUUAACUUGGAAACUGCCAUUGAUACUAUUAGUCUUGAAUACCGUGGAGGUCAGCGGAAUAUGUCAUGUAGCGGUGAAAUGCUUAGAUAUGACAUAGAACACCAAUUGCGAAGGCAGCUAACUACGCGAAUAUUGACGCUGAGGCACGAAAGCGUGGGGAUCAAACAGGA
rnacentral:rRNA from 1 species